CAUAGGUUAAUGAGGCGAACCGGGGGAACUGAAACAUCUAAGUACCCCGAGGAAAAGAAAUCAACCGAGAUUCCCCCAGUAGCGGCGAGCGAACGGGGAGCAGCCCAGAGCCUGAAUCAGUGUGUGUGUUAGUGGAAGCGUCUGGAAAGGCGCGCGAUACAGGGUGACAGCCCCGUACACAAAAAUGCACAUACUGUGAGCUCGAUGAGUAGGGCGGGACACGUGGUAUCCUGUCUGAAUAUGGGGGGACCAUCCUCCAAGGCUAAAUACUCCUGACUGACCGAUAGUGAACCAGUACCGUGAGGGAAAGGCGAAAAGAACCCCGGCGAGGGGAGUGAAAAAGAACCUGAAACCGUGUACGUACAAGCAGUGGGAGCCUCUUUAUGGGGUGACUGCGUACCUUUUGUAUAAUGGGUCAGCGACUUAUAUUCUGUAGCAAGGUUAACCGAAUAGGGGAGCCGAAGGGAAACCGAGUCUUAACUGGGCGUUAAGUUGCAGGGUAUAGACCCGAAACCCGGUGAUCUAGCCAUGGGCAGGUUGAAGGUUGGGUAACACUAACUGGAGGACCGAACCGACUAAUGUUGAAAAAUUAGCGGAUGACUUGUGGCUGGGGGUGAAAGGCCAAUCAAACCGGGAGAUAGCUGGUUCUCCCCGAAAGCUAUUUAGGUAGCGCCUCGUGAAUUCAUCUCCGGGGGUAGAGCACUGUUUCGGCAAGGGGGUCAUCCCGACUUACCAACCCGAUGCAAACUGCGAAUACCGGAGAAUGUUAUCACGGGAGACACACGGCGGGUGCUAACGUCCGUCGUGAAGAGGGAAACAACCCAGACCGCCAGCUAAGGUCCCAAAGUCAUGGUUAAGUGGGAAACGAUGUGGGAAGGCCCAGACAGCCAGGAUGUUGGCUUAGAAGCAGCCAUCAUUUAAAGAAAGCGUAAUAGCUCACUGGUC
rnacentral:rRNA from 1 species